UUCCCAUGGGGUGCCAGGAGAAGCACAGUGAAGCCGAUUGCAAUGGCAGAGGCAAAGCCAUCUACAGGCUCCUGCCUUUCCUGUUCCUCGGCAACUCCCAGGCACCCCAACUGCCCCAACCACCCAGGCCCUUGUGUUUAAUAUUGCUGCUGGCCAAAGUCUUGGUUUUCUCUGACCACCAGAUAAAAUAUGUGGAGACAGAGUUUGGAGGAAAUAGAAAGAUGGCUUUAAUUCUCAGCUGAUGGAGAGGGGAACACAGUAGGCUCAUGCCUCGAGAACUGUGAGAAGUCUAGGGGCUUAUAUAAGAUAAGAGCUCACAGUUAGGAGUCAGUAAUGAGAGCAAAGGUCUGAGGAUCUUAAUUUCUUCCUCUUGGAUUGUUUUAAAGACAGUCAUAGGCUGACGUCAGUAACCCAGUAAUUGAGUCUGGCAGUUUGGUGGCUCUGUGGCCUUCUUUCUGAUAUGUAACUACAAGGGAAAGGGUGUUGUAAUGCUGAACACCAGAUGCAGGAUGCAUUUAGCAUAGAGUCAAAGGAAAAUAGAUGUGAAGUGUAGCUCCUGCAAAGUUAAGGGGGCAGAGUAGCAAACGUAGUUACAGGCAUGCAGAGUUAGAAGCAGUUAAAGUAAAAAGCUAGGAUCAGGCUUGUUCACUGUCCUCUUCAUCUUUGUUCUCAGGAAAGGGAAAGAAAAAAAAAAAAAAAACACUCAUUCCUCUUUUUUUCCUUUUCACUGCAGCAAUAUUACUUACUAGUUUCCUUUUUCAAAAGAUUAAUACAGCGGGAAUGGUUAAAGUUGGUUUUAUCCACUCCUUGAGUUUUAAAUUAUAUUUACAGUGAGUGAGGGCCUACUGGCCCAAAACUAUGAGAUUACAUCAUUUGUUGAAUAAAUGAGUUUGAUGGGGUUCAGGGGAGACCACACCAAGAUGUGCCGCUCUGGCAUGUGGAUUAUUUUGAGCUGAAAACAAGCAAGCCUCAAAGACUCAGGGAGAAUGGUUGAACUUCCCCUUUACUGCUUAAAGAAUUUAAAAUAGAAGGCUUAUGCCAGGAAGUAGCUAUCACCAUAGAUGACUAUAGGAAAGCAUGCAUGCAGUGUCACAGGGAAGAAGCCCUUUUGAUCAAAGUCUUCUCUGUGUCACAUUAUCUUUAGAUGACUCAGCAAACAUUUGUUUACAAAGCAUUAAUCCUUCUCGUCUUCUUCUGAAUUGCCUUAUUAACACUCACGGAGGGAAACACUUAGGAAUGUGUACUCCAGGAUCCUUGGUGGAUAACUGUGUGCUCAGUCGUGUCUGACUCUGUGACCCCAUGGACUACACCUGCCAGGCUCCUCCAUCCAUAGGAGUUUCCUGGGCACAAAUACUGGAGUGGGUUGCCAUUUCCUUCUCCAGGGGAUUUUCCCAAUCCAGGGAUCAAACCCGCGUCUCUUGUGUCUUCUGUAUUGGCAGGCAGGUCCCUUACCACUGAGCCACCUGGGACUUCCCCUCAAGGUCCCAAACCCCAGCCUCCCCUUCUGGAGUUCAGAAUGCCAGAAGAACUGAGGAGGGGAAAGGGCAAAAUUCUCCUCCCCCGCAAGUUCACUGAGUACUGAUUUCAGGCGAGCGUUGCAUGGAGAUUGAGCCAUCAGGAAGUUUAGAGAAAUUGAAGGGCAUCCAAACAGGCCUGGAUCUGCAGUUGGCCCCACCAGGAAGAAGAGACACACCCAGAGCCGGCCUACCUGGAUGGCUAGAAACCUUUCUCAUAGCUAAGGCCUGAGAAAUGCUGAGACCCUCAGAGACAGUGGUGGUUUUCCAAAGAAGAGAGUUCCUGAAACAAUAGUGUUAGCUUUUGAUGGACAGGUGUGAAAGUUUUGUUUAAACAUGAAUCAACAAUGUCCUGAUUGAGGAAAGAAGUUUAUCUAUGACAAAUAGCAAGUCUUCCUCUCGGGUCUGGGUGUCUACUGUUUGGGACUUCUGCAGUGCCUCUCCAGAGAGAUUUAGGUAUUGGUGAUACUCUAUCACAUAAACACUUUCUGGAUGAAAAUAUAUCUCCUUAAGUAAGUACUAGAUACGUCAAAAUAUUAGCUUAACUGCUAAAGAAUUUGCCAGUCCUAAAAUAUGUGCAUUUCAAGGAAGGCAUUCCCUUUAGAAAUGUGACACAGAAAUCAUGUAACUGAUGAGGUAUAGUAGGCAAGUAUGUUGCAAUAUGCCUUAAGUGAAUUUUAAAAUGCUUGUUACUUUAUAAGGAGUUAAUACAUAUGCGGGGUAAAACAUUUUUUUUUUAAGAAAAGAGUGUAAGAAAAAGACACCUCUCUUUUAUCUUGCUUCGAUUUAAAAAAUGAUGUGAUAGGAAGAGGUCCAGGGCAAUAGGCAGUACACACUCAAGUAGUUAAAAAGGAGAAGCAAACAGAAUGAAUUUGGAUACUAAAUGAGUUUUAAUCCAUAGUUUGGAAAAGAUGAAAUGGACAGAAGCUGUAACUUAGUCUGCAGAGAAGACAUUUAGGAGAAGCAAAAGUUAAUAGUAGAUUUUCAAUGUGUGUCUCAAUACCUAGUACUAGACAUCAGAUAACUGCCACAUAUUUACUUAUUUGUUGCAUAAUCACUCUGCAUGGUAAAUUAUUUGUCCCAGUUUACUAAUGAGUCUGAGAUUAAGCAAUUUUCUUGGGUGUGAAUCCCAGCUGUGCAUCUUACCAAGUGGCGUGUCUUAAAUUUAUGAAAAGUUUUGAAACUUACUUUCCUCAUCUAUAAAGUAGUUGUUGUUUAGGCUAAGUCAUGUCUAACUUUUUUGUGACCCCAUGGACCAUAGCCUGCUAGAUUGCUCUGUCCAUGGGAUUUCCUAAGUAAGAAUACUGGAAUGGGUUGCCAUUUCCUUCUCCAGGGGAUCUUCCUGACCCAGGGAUCGAACCCACAUCACAUACAUUGACAGACAGACUCUACCACUGAGCCCCCAGGGAAGCCCCAUCUAUAAGAUAGAGGUAAGCAAUGUCAUGAGCAUGUGUGUAAGUUCCUUAGCAUAGUGCCUUGGACAUGCAGUGGAGUGAAAGGUGCUCAGUCAUGUCUGACUCUAAGCGACCCCGCGAACUAUACCGUUUGUGGAAUUCUCCAGGCAAGAAUACUGGAGUGCAUAGCCUUUCCCUUCUCCAGGGGCUCUUCCCCCGGUUCAACCCAGGGAUCAAAUCCCGGUUUCCUGCAUUGUAGGCGGAUUCUUGGACAGGCAAGAACUUAGCAAUUCUUUUACUAUUAUUGCUGUGUGCUUGAACCUCUCAGAUCUAUGCUGGAAAACAGUAAAACAGAAGGAGCCCCACUCUGGUUUCCUGUAAUCUUGCUCUCAAGACCUAAUUCUAAGCUAAGGCAUGUCAGUCAUCAUCCUACAUGACUGGAGUUUUAUUUCUUAAGAGAGAAAAUGGGUCCCAAGGAUCUCAUUUGCCAACAGAAGUGAUUAUAAGUCAUUAACAUUUUGCUCAGCCUCUGUGAAUCGUGAUCAGGUUACAAAGAUAUCUGAUUAUAUUACAGAAAAAGGAAAGAAAAAAAGAAGAAAGAAUGAUGUCUUCUAUUUCCAUUUCGUACUUGUGAUUGCCUGAACCUCACAUUCCCCCAUUCUGUCCACAGUCCCAUGGAAUAUCAGUUACAAGGACUUCUAGGUUUCUGUAAGGCAGAUCACUACUUUUUUUUUUUUUUUCCUUAAUAAACUCAAUAUUAACAUGUGGCCACCCAGAUAGAGGAGAAAACUUUCUGGGGUCUAGAUGUUUUCAAAGCUAGAUUAGGUAGAAGGUCAGUGAGACAGCUGGCAGAGGCACUAGUUGGUCAGGGGCAGCAGAACAUUUCUGGAGACAUAAUAAGAUUAAGAAAACUGUGUUGGGCAGAACUCACUUCAGGGAGAGUACAUGUAGGAAAGGCUUUGUUAGAUAGAUGAAGAUGAGAGCGCAGGACGCCGGCAUCAUUUGGAGUCACCCAGAUAUUCCUUGAAACACUGAGUAUAGGUUCAGUUAACCGAAGUCUUACUGCUUUGCUCCUGGGGUAUGAAGGAUUGGAACCUGAGCUGGGUCCCACAUUCUCCACCCUUUUUCCAUGAGAAGCGGGACUUCACCUCUAAAGAAGUAUUGAACAGAUAUAGGGAGAUAAAAUUUAAUAUGGUAACCAGAAAAUCCUAGGUCUUGGUUUAUGAAAUAUUUCCAAAUGUCACCUGGGAUGAUGCUCAUAGAACUUACACUGUAUCUUUAUGUUGUGUGUUACAUUUCAGUCUUUUACAACAGAGGUGUUUUGUUUUUUUUUUUUAACUGGAGCUCUUCCCUUUCUGGAGGGGGGAGACAUGCCUGAUGUCACCAUCAAGAACAGAAAUUAGCAGACAUGUUGGGAUUCCCUGAUCCCACAUCUUGCCAGUGCCCAAUUCACCAAUGUAUGUAACUGAGUCUGGCACAACUCUCUGCUAUUAAUUAAAAUGUAAAACUAAAUGCCACUAAUAAUGGGUGCAGUGGUGAGUUAACUUACUUAUAUAAAGCUGUUCUGUUGUGGCUUCGUCUGUCUUGCCGUGUUGUGGGAUAUUUCUUGAUGUGAGAUAAUGACAUGCUGGUGACAAAGAGAGAUUUGCUUGAAGAGUUAACCAUUAGUUAGUAUGCUGAUUGCAGUUUAUUCCGUAGCAAAAUUCCAUAUCUUUGUUCAUUUUUUGUGCCACCUUAUAUAGACACAAAUAGGACUGGAACUGAAAGUCUCACUCAGCUUUACUUGGAUAUAGAGAGGGACGGAACUCAACAAUUGCAAUGUGUUCUGUGCACCCUGUUAUUUCAAACAGUGAAACUGUCUGGCCGUAAAAAAUUUUUUAAUGUGAGAAGGUACACCUGGUUAUCAACCAUGUGCAAGGGAAUGAUUUGAUCAUAGCAAAAUCUAGAGGACAUGUGAGUUCGGGAAACUCUGGAUUCAAACAUCCUAGUAAGUGGCAAGUUCAUAUGCCAAGGAAAAGAGGCUCCUGUAAUGGGUAAAUUUCUGUGCAUUGUAUUGAGAGGGAAUGGACCAGAGAAGCUUCAACAUGUUCCCUUGCAUAAUGAUGAGAUUUGUUUCAAAAUUUAUGUAAAACGUCAGGAUAUCUGGGAACAAGUUAUAGAGGAUGCAGAACCUAUCCUUCUAAAAAGAGGUCUUAGUUUGACAAGCCGCAUGGCUGCAGUCAGCUGUUGGUAUUUUUACAGUAUGUAAGGGAGAGAGUGUAGAUGAAGACCCCUUUUUUUUGUGUACUGUUUCAGUUAACUAUGAGAGGAAUCCAUGUGUUCUAUCUCAUCUAAGAUUUCUUUUUCAGCCAUAAGCCAACACUUCACGGGUGUGGAUAAAUUUGUACUAAUAGUAACCCCUGCUAUGCUUGGUAAAAUGUCAAGCUUUGCUCCCUAUAUACAGAAAGGAGUAGCUAUUUGUUUAAUGCACAGUCAUGCACUUGGUGCAAGAAAUGUGUCUGCAAAAAAGAAGAAUGUUCUGGCUUCUAUAUACAGUAAUGAAAACCCCACUGAGCAGUAAAAACCAAAUCUUUGAAUCUGUGAUUUUUGUUAAGGAAUUGGUAGGUGGCAGAGCAUCCAUCUCUAUGUAGAAGUGAGGUGACUUCUCAUGGCAGCAUAUUUAUUUUGCAAGGGGGAAAAUGAUGAAAGUGAGUCAAGUGCUUCUUUCUUUUCCCUCUCUGAGAGGGUGGCCUUCACCAGUUGACCUGAAUAUCCAUCUAAUUGAAGGUUGUGGGGGUGCACAGUCUUGGAGACUGGGAUCUAUAGUAAGAAGAAAUGUUAAAAAAAAAAAAAACAAGCAAAAAACCAAAAAGCAGUUCAUUUUGUCUUGUUCAGAUUCUAGCAUAAGAAAUAAGAUUAUGCAGGAAUAAAUUUUUUAAAAGACUUCCAAGUCAGGCUGUUGAGAUCUGAGAGAGGAUUUUUCAGAUGGUCUCUGUCCUCUUUAACGGACAGCAGCACCAGCCUGGAGGAGCCAGCUUACGGAGUUCUCCUAUGGGCUAGAGAAGAAACCUGUGCUAACUAUGACAGCAAAGUUCCAGCACCUGCUGCCACAUGGAAGAAGGUGUAUCAUAAGGCCAGACAGCCCAUCCAUUGUUCUUCCCAGGGGAUGAUGGGAAGGGACAAGCUGGGUAGAGAAGGAGGACUAAGAAAGCAAAAGUACCAGGAUGAUGUGUUCACACUCCCCCUCACCUGCCCCACGCCCGAGCUUAGGUGAGCAAGGAAAUCGCAGAAGUAGAGAAGACAAAGAUGUUCUUAACAACCUUACAGGCUGCUCUGCACCGUCCUGGGGAGAACCCACAUCACUUGGCCAUGCAGGAGGGCGGGAGGAGGUUAUGGCCAACUGGUCUUGGUUCCCAUGGGGUGUAUCUGUAGGAUACAGAUGUCCCUAUCUUUGAAAAUCUUCGCACAAAAACUGUAAGAGAAGAAUAUAUUGUUUUAUAUGGCUAUACGUUUAAUGUAUUCCUAUUAAUUCAGGCAUCACCGAUACCAUGAACAUGAACUUGGGGUGGACUUCAGGGAGGUCUGGCAUGCUGCAGUCCAUGAGGUUGCAGAGUCAGACAUGACUGGGCAACUUAACAACAACAUUAGUUCAGGAUUAUGGUAGACAUUGAGUAUAUUUCAUUGAUAAUUAUAAUUAUCUAAAAAGUUAUUCCCUUUAAGGGUUUUGUAAUAUAUGGUGUCAGUCAGUCAGUCAGUCAGUUAUGUGGUAUAAGAACAUAAUUUGAGGACAAAUAUACAAACUGCCUUUCAAAGAUCUGGUACUUAUGUUCCAAUGGCAACAUAAGUCAACACAAAGCCCUGAUCUAAAAAUGACUGAAACAUGAUGAAGGCAUGUAUUUGCCUUUCAUUUUAGACCAGGUCUUACAGGAUUUGAUAAAAUAUAAUGUGUGUUUUGAGGAGCAAUUCAAAAAGCUAGGCAUUACCUAAUCACUCUUGUUGCUAUAAAACAAAUAUUAUAACUAUGUCUAAAUUGUCAGAGUACAUGGUGAAUAAAAAAUCUUCUCAAAUAAACACUCUUAUCAUGAGCUCUUGGAUCUUGAAGGCUCAGCGUGUCUGUCCAGUGUCUUAGCAAAGCAUCGUGCUUCC